rnacentral:rRNA from 1 species
AUCGCCUGUUUAUCAAAAACAUAGCCCUAAGGAGUGGUUUAGGGUGAGGCCUGCCCAAUGAGUAAUUUUUUAAUGGCCGCGGUACUUUGACCGUGCUAAGGUAGCAUAAUCAGUUGACUUUUGAAUGAAGUCUGGAAUGAAUGGGAGAACGGAAUUAAGCUGUCUCAAUGCUCUUUAUUAUGAAUUUACUAAUUAAGUGAAAAGGCUUAAAAAAGAUAAAAGACGAGAAGACCCUGAGAGUUUUAUUAUGAUUUCGUUGGGGCGACGGAUAAUCAGUGAAACAUUCUUUAUCAACAGGACGGUUUUAUCAUGAAAGGAUAAGCUACCUCAGGGAUAACAGCAUAAUCUUUUUAGGUUUGUGACCUCGAUGUUGGACUAGGAAGCUUUAUGGCUAGCCGCCUUUAAAGGGGAUUCUGUUCGAAUUCUUACUCCUACGUGAUCUGAGUUCAGACCGGAU